GUGGGGAAUAUUGCACAAUGGGCGCAAGCCUGAUGCAGCCAUGCCGCGUGUAUGAAGAAGGCCUUCGGGUUGUAAAGUACUUUCAGCGAGGAGGAAGGCAUUGUGGUUAAUAACCGCAGUGAUUGACGUUACUCGCAGAAGAAGCACCGGCUAACUCCGUGCCAGCAGCCGCGGUAAUACGGAGGGUGCAAGCGUUAAUCGGAAUUACUGGGCGUAAAGCGCACGCAGGCGGUCUGUCAAGUCGGAUGUGAAAUCCCCGGGCUCAACCUGGGAACUGCAUUCGAAACUGGCAGGCUAGAGUCUUGUAGAGGGGGGUAGAAUUCCAGGUGUAGCGGUGAAAUGCGUAGAGAUCUGGAGGAAUACCGGUGGCGAAGGCGGCCCCCUGGACAAAGACUGACGCUCAGGUGCGAAAGCGUGGGGAGCAAACAGGAUUAGAAACCCUUGUAGUCC
rnacentral:rRNA from 1 species